rnacentral:lncRNA from 1 species
CUCUGCAACAGAGCCUGGCGUGGUGUUGCCCCACUGCAUGUUUGUUGACUGACUGGCUGAUGGAUGCAGAGCCCGUCCUUCCUAAUGGUUCAGACUCAGGCGUCAUCAGCCCAGAUGGCUCCGAGGGAAGGGAGAGGCCACUCCGACUGCUCUGAGGUCCAGCACCCCCGGCCACCCCAGGACUCCCGAAGAGGCUGCUAGGUCGGCCUGCCCAAAGAGCGGUGAGGAGCGUAUGUGAAGAGCCCCAGUCUUGAGGAGCAGCCUGUAUCUGGAGAGAGGGGAGCCCCGGACCAGAGGUGGGGGACAGGAAGCCAUCGCCCCACCCUGCCUCCUCCCCCACCACAGGUGGCCCUCGCCCCGGCCCACCCGCGCCUCCCAGGCCCAGCCUCACCUGCUGCCGAGAGAGGACAGUGAUCCCCCAAAAGCCGGAGGUGGAGGAGGAGGAGGAAGAGGAGGAAGGAGCUGGAGGAGCCGGGGACUCGCCCGCUGAAGAUGCUCUUGUCAAGACAAUGAAUGAGAAGCAGCCGUGCGCCCGCCUCCGGGGUGGCCGCGCCCCUUGGGGCGGAGCUCUUCCAGGCCCGCCCUGCGCUCCCGGGCUCCCGCUGCGGCCGC